rnacentral:rRNA from 1 species
AGAAUCAACGCUGGCGGCGUGCCUCAGACAUGCAAGUCGAACGCGAAAGUCCCCUUCGGGGGAUAAGUAGAGUGGCGCACGGGUGAGUAACACGUAGGUAAUCUACCUUCGGGUGGGGAAUAACCCAGGGAAACUUGGGCUAACACCGCAUAAUGCAGCGGCACCACAUGGUGACAGUUGUUAAAGCGGGGGAUUUUAGGACCUCGCGCCUGAAGAGGGGCCUGUGGCGGAUUAGCUAGUUGGCAGGGUAACGGCCUACCAAGGCAACGAUCCGUA